AUAAACUCUCCGCUCUCCGCUCGUCCCCGCGAAAGCGGGGACCCAGAAUUUAUCUAUCACUCACCCUCAGUACAGCGGCCCCUACCCGGCACGCCGCGGCUUCAUGGUCUGCUCCUGCCAGAUAUAGAGCGCGCGUUUGGCUGAGGAGAACGAAAUCUCCUCGUAGGUCUUGCGGAGCUGCUCGAUCUCGGCCGCAGGCAGCGACAGCAGGCGGCUGAG
rnacentral:misc_RNA from 1 species